UUAUCUUUAUGGAUAUUCAAAAGUAAUAAUACACACCGAUCAUCAGCCCUUGAGUUUUUCAAAUAUCCUAAAGACCCAUAACGCAAAACUAAAAUGCUGGAGAGAUCUCAUUGGUGAAUAUGACCACAAUAUCACGUACAAGCCCGGAGGUACUAAUGUAGUAGCAGAUGCAUUCUUUCGAGGUUCCGCAAAAAUCAAUUCAAUAAGUUCAUCAGAAACAGUCCAUAGCGAUAGAAACUAAUCACACGGUCUCAUAUUUUUAGUAGAAGCACCGAUCAAUGCAUUUAAAAAAAACAACACAGCACAGUUACAGAUCUUUAUAAUUUCGAAAUUUCAUUCCCAACCUAUCACAGGCAUAUCAUACAACAAAAAUUUCUACACGGAGAAAAACUUAUUGCAAUUUUGGCAAACAGACUCGACCCUAAAUUCAUAAUCGGAAUUCUCACAUCUGAAGGCUCAAAAAAGAAUUCAAGCCAUAGUUCAAGUUUGUCAAAUUUGAGAAGAAUCAAAGUACAAAAGACACCCCCCAAAAAGGAGAAAUCCAACCAACCCACAUCCCUAAUUACCCAGGAGAAAUUAUUCAUAUAGACAUUUAUAUUAUAAGAAAACAAAGCGAACUAACAGGAUUAGCAGCUAAACAAGACGGAACAUUUAAAAUCAUCCACAUAUUUAAUUUACAGAACUACGAAGAAACACUUUCGGAAUUUGACGAAGCUCUUCAAAAAAUCAUACGAUCUCAACCAUAACAUCCAUAUCUUUCUUACGAAUUAAGACAGCAAUAGGAACUGCGUGAAAAUGGAUGGCAGGAUUACGAAAUUUUAGAGAUCAAGAUAAAUGAACAAUUAGAAAACAAUAAUAGACAAGUAGUAAUCAAUAGAUUAAUUAAUAAAAAAUCAACAAAUUUUCUAACGUCACUAAUGCAAUGCUUAAA